rnacentral:rRNA from 1 species
AUUGAACGCUGGCGGCAGGCCUAACACAUGCAAGUCGAGCGGAUGAAGGGAGCUUGCUCCUGGAUUCAGCGGCGGACGGGUGAGUAAUGCCUAGGAAUCUGCCUGGUAGUGGGGGAUAACGUCCGGAAACGGGCGCUAAUACCGCAUACGUCCUGAGGGAGAAAGUGGGGGAUCUUCGGACCUCACGCUAUCAGAUGAGCCUAGGUCGGAUUAGCUAGUUGGUGGGGUAAAGGCCUACCAAGGCGACGAUCCGUAACUGGUCUGAGAGGAUGAUCAGUCACACUGGAACUGAGACACGGUCCAGACUCCUACGGGAGGCAGCAGUGGGGAAUAUUGGACAAUGGGCGAAAGCCUGAUCCAGCCAUGCCGCGUGGGUGAAGAAGGUCUUCGGAUUGUAAAGCACUUUAAGUUGGGAGGAAGGGCAGUAAGUUAAUACCGUGCUGUUUUGACGUUACCAACAGAAUAAGCACCGGCUAACUUCGUGC